UACGUAGGGCGCGAGCGUUGUCCGGAAUCAUUGGGCGUAAAGAGCUCGUAGGCGGCCGGUUGCGUCUGCUGUGAAAUCCCGGGGCUUAACCCCGGGCGUGCAGUGGAUACGGGCUGGCUGGAGGUAGGCAGGGGAGAAUGGAAUUCCCGGUGUAGCGGUGAAAUGCGCAGAUAUCGGGAGGAACACCGGUGGCGAAGGCGGUUCUCUGGGCCUGUGCUGACGCUGAGGAGCGAAAGCGUGGGGAGCGAACAGG
rnacentral:rRNA from 1 species